GUAAUUCUUGAAACAUAGAUAUAUCUAAUUAAAUAAAUUAGAACUAUUAUUAGUCAUGCUGCUGGAAGCUGUGUUGCCAUCGAGCAGGCUAUUUGUGGUUUGACUGAGUUCUUGAUUAUUGUUUUAGACGAAAAGUCAAAUCUUCUCUCCGUUGAGAUGCCUGUAAAUGAUAUUGGAUCACUUUCACCCAUGGAAAAUAAAUCUACCUAAUUUGUCGUAGAGGCUCUUCGUAGUUUACCUUUAAAUGGUCAUGUUCAGUCACUAAAUAUGAUUGGAGAUUCGUUUAAGCUAUUAACGAUGAUCAUAAACAAAAGAUAGUUGAUCAUGGCAAUGGCAAAAGAACUUUAUUCGUACAUCAUUUGAAGGAGUGGAUUGAUGAAACUUCUUCUAAUGUUGAUAAAUUAAUGUCUGCUGCAUUUCCACAUGUAUGUAUUAUCAUCCUCCCUAUUAUUUGUUUAUUUUGUUGUUUUCUUCGAAGUUUCGUUGGUAAUGGGAUCCAUUAUUAAUCCUCUCAUCUGUGACAAUAAAGUGGUUCAUUGUCAUUUUCAGCUUUGUAUUCAUUCUGUAGAAAAGGUCAGAAAAACACUUGUAGAUGGCAUACAGGGGCUUCUGUUGAAUUGUAGAUGCACUUUGCAAAGAAGCAAAUUAAUGCUUUUGGAGUGUGUGUGUGCUGGUUUGUGACGAUGCAGAUGUUGUGUCCAUGGUAUCUCAGUAAUCCCUUGAAUCUUUAUUUGUUUUGGUGAAUCUUACUUUUUCAAGUUAUUGGCAUCCUCAUCAAAGCACUUCCAUGUGUGGUUCUUGCAAGUGAUGAGACAAUUGCUUUGUCACAUGCUCAGAAACUACUUUCUCUAGUCUAUUAUGCAGGUCCGGACCUUUUAGUAAAUUACCUUCAGUCUCCUCAGCCGAAGAAAGAACCGGAUGAUCUUGAGGGCAUAGCGGAUGCAGCGCCGGAUGCCUUGCCAAAGGUGAAGGCGAACAAGAAGGAGAAGAAGCGGAAGCGCAAGGAUAAGGACUCUUCUGAUGCAGUGGAGGGGUUCAGUGUGUUCAAGAGUUCCGAGUCUUUGUCCUCUAUUCUAGAAAGAAAUGCUUUGGAGGUUACUUCUGCUGAGAUGAAGAAGGAUGUGGAAAAGGAGAUUGAGAAAGCUUCUAUUCUGCGUAAGAAGUAUGGAAUUCACAUUUCAAGACAUGUUGUUCCUCCCCCGCUUGAGAGUUUUGGAGAGCUAAGCUCAAGGUGAGAUCCCAUAUAUGGAGAAUCCUUGUUUAGAGAUCAACUUGCAGCACACUGUUGCUUGGCUUUUGGCACAAAUUUUUUGAUGGUACAUGCUGAACGUUCUCAUGCUGGCCUAUGUAGUGGCAUCAGUGCAUAGCAUAUUCUGUAUGCACUCAUGCACCUGAGCAGCCCAGCCAGUAUGCACAUGUUACUGGCUGAAUUCAAAUCCUUAGUUUAUAUUAUCUCAAUAUCAUAAUACAUGUUCAGACCUUGAGCUGAUCGCAUGUGGCAAGCUAUGUGGUGUCCUAUAUUUGUGCAAUGCAGG